AAUUGGCGCCCGAACAGGGACAAGUCUGAACAGGAUUUGGACACUGCUGGCAGUGAUCCAGGGCCACGGUUGGACGGAAUAAAGGAGAAGCCGGUCCUGCAACGCAGCCCAGGAGGUGGAAGGGACAAGAAUCCCCGCACCCGCGCCGGGAAGGUGAAAAGGACGUGGAGUCCCCCGCACCCGGGAGAGGAUCCUGCCGGUCGCGCGUCGCCGAGAUCUGCAGCUCGGAAGGUGAAAGGGAGUCCCCGCACCCGGGAUGAGCCUAUUUAGGGUCCCGCCGGAAAAGCGCCGCCGAGGUCUUUGCAAAGGCUGCAAUCGACGUAUAUAAAGGGCCAACCUGGGUGCCUAGUCGGUGUGUUAAACCAGCCAUUGAAGAAAAGUCAUCAAGUACGAAUAACAGCAACCAUGGCUGAUCUAACGGCACAAGGGAUUCUGGUUGCAUUACCCUUGACAAUGACGGUUGGACGUAAUAGUGCCAUCCUAAGCAAAAUCGAUCCUCAAACCAAUAUGUGGGUCACUUGGGCAAAUUAAACCAGACAAAGUUCAUUUUGCCUAUUCCUCGCUUCUGCGUCUGAUCCUUUUGUUGAUGAGUUGAUUAUGUUUGAAAUGGUUAAGGGAUCAUACGCAAAAAAUUGUAGUACAAGAUAGUUGGUUUGAAGGUUGGUUUAAAUCUGUUUUUGGGAACAUGGGUGGAUGGUUUUUUCUUCGUCAAAGAGGAACUUCGUUUUCUACUUAUAGUUAUAUUGAUUAUAGUUGCUGCAAAAUAAAAACGGGGGAAUUGU